CUCGAAAGUGCCAACGUAGCACAUUUGUACGCGAUGUUACUGCGGCCAUGUCAGUCGAGCUUUGCGGCAAGCUGAAACGCCAGUGAAAGAAAGCCUCCCUCAGCAUCCUAUUACCUUAGUGCGUCGUAAAUAGAAACUAGUGAGCAGACAGAGAAAUGGCGACUGAAGGAGGUACUCCAGGUGGUUUAGCCCCAGCAGAACCCCAAACAGGACCAGAUGGAGAAAUUAUCGGAGGACCUCGUACUCCACAGCAGAUCGCUGCUCAGCGAAGAUUGCAACAGACUCAGGCGCAAGUCGAUGAAGUCGUGGAUAUUAUGAAAACAAAUGUCGAGAAAGUUCUAGACAGAGACGCAAAGUUGUCAGAAUUAGACGACAGAGCAGAUGCACUUCAACAGGGUGCUUCACAGUUCGAGCAACAGGCAAAAAGCUUGAAAAAUAAAUUUUGGUUGCAAAAUUUAAAGAUGAUGAUUAUAAUGGGCGUGAUUGGGAUCGUUAUCAUCGGCCUGUUAUUCGGUGAUAACAUUAAACAAAUGUUUGGUUAGUUCGAUACCGUGGCACACCGACUAUGACCGGCAUCAGUCCAGGCGUAGCCGGCAAUGUUACCGCAGCUGUUACUAAUAAUUGAAAAUACAUGUAAUCCUAAUUCGCAAGAUCUAAACUUCGUGGAAGAUGUGUUAACAAUAAAUUUUGUAAGCAUUUAAAUUAGAAAUUUAGCGUAGAAAUGGUCACAUAAAAGGGCAGUUGCGUAAAAUACAAACUUUAUUGUUUGUUUUACUUGAAAGUAAAAUAACCUUAUAGAAAAUAAAUUAAGUUUACGAACUCUAAUUACAACGUUCAAUGAAAUAGUUAAACUAUUAAAAAAUAUUUAAAUAUAUUAUUCAAUAAGAUUUCAUAUGAAAGUCUUUGAAUAUAGGUAACGUUUACUAUACGUAUGUUCAAUUUCAAGAUUACUAAUAUUGUGAAAAUUGUAUAAAAUUUAAUAAAAUUAAGUGUCAAAUUAAAUUUUAUCAAGCUACUCAUUCAAUUUAGCUGUUAAUAAAAAAAAAAUCAUUUAAAAUCUGCCAUAGAUAAAUUAUUUUGCGUGCCUUGUCUUUAUCAGCGUUUUUAGAAUCAUAAUGAAUAGAAAAAUAUAAUAUUCACGUAUGUUACGACGAGAGUUUCACUAUCGGCCUAUGAAAACUAGUGAUAUUUAUUUGUAUUUUUAAUGGACUAAGAUCGUAUGUACAACUUACAAAUUAAUCGGCUAAAAUUAAACGUAAAAGUAUUCAUAUCCGACGUCCACAUUUUAUGUGAGGGUUAAAGAAGUUUUGUGUGACAUGCGAGGUCAUAGAACUGUACCAUAAAAUAACAAAAAAUAAUUAGACUAGUUCAAUAGUAAACCUUUUGUUUUAUAGCCAGAGAAAGCAGAUAUUAAAACCUCUCAAUAAGUCGUGAUUAUAUUUUCAACGUGAUAAAUCUUAGCCGAUUAAAUGUACAGGUACUUCGAUAAAUAGCCAUGGAUUAUAAAUUUCAAUCGAUUAUUUAGUACUGAUGUAUAUUAAGAUACUAAAAGAAUAUCGAAUUAAUAUAUAUUGCAAUUUAAACACCAAAAUAAUAGUAUUAGGUUUAUGGAAUUGAGUAGUUACACUAUAAGGAAAUAUUUGUUUAUUUAAUAUUUCGAUUUUAGAACUUAGGACUGGAAAAGCGUAUCGAAGAAGAUUUUUAUGUAUCAAUCAUUGCAUACAUUAAAAUUAAAUUGUGGACAAAUUGAUGUGCAAUGUCGCACAUUCGCGCGUUUUGUUGAGCAUACGCUGACACGAAAAUACUCUGCGCUUUGCUUCGCCAGUUCUGUGCCAGCUGUUAGCACAAUAUUAUACUUGUAAUAAUUUAAUUGCAACGAAAAUCAAAAAUAUUUGAAUAGCAUUAAGAAUAUUUUUAUUGCAACUGCUUUAAAUAUGUAUUAGGUUUCUGAUUUUAAAAUUGGAUGCGUCAAUUAUUUUUUAAAUUGUAGCUAUCUUGUCUAAUUUCUUAGCAUAUGCGUGUCAAUUUUAAUUAAUAUAAAUAUGUAUUUAUAGUACUUUGAUGUUGCAGUGCAUUUGAAAAAAUUGGUUAGUAAUUAAAAUUUCAAAAAAGAUCCUGUUUUAUGAGACAUGCUGAGUUCUUUAGUCAGCAUCUUCUUUUGGUUACUUUAAGCAUAAAUGAAUUAUAAACCAUAAAAACUUCUUAAAAAUUAACCAAUUUUAUCGAAUGAACCCAACAUGCUUAACGAAAAGAGUUCGGAAAAACGGGUGAAAUUUGGUAAGAAAAUAUCGUAGGUAGGUACUUAAUGUUUUUUUUUUAAUUUCUUAAUGUAGCAAAGAAAUUUAUAGAAGAGAAAAUUCUCUUAGGCUCAUAUAAUUAUUUAUAAGCGAUUAUUUUAAUUGCAGCUAAUUAAUGCAUAGUAUAAUUAUUUAAAAUAACGUAUGAAAAAUUAUUUAAAAAUAUUGCUUAUAGAAUAAGUUAUAACGUACCUACACCUACAGGAAAUGAUAUGGUGCCACUGACAAUAUUACUUCUUUUAUCGUAAUUAAAUGAAUGUAGAAACGAAAUAUUAUGUAUAUAUUUAUAGUCAUACUACUCCUCCUACUAUCGCUUAAGACUUUAACAAUUAUUAUUAUUAAUGAAGAAAGAACAAUAAUUAAUUAUAGUUUUUAUUUAAAAAAUAAUCGGCCAGUCUUAAUCUUUUUGAGGUAAUUUUUUUUUAAUAAAAAUAAAACGUAUAUUACUUAUUCGCAUUAAAUAAUAUUUAACGGAGUUCAAAUAAUAAAUUAAUAAGUUCCUUAAAAUUAUUAAAACAACUAUAAAAGACGUAUGUGAAAAACAGACUUCAACGAUAAAGUUUGUAAGUAAUAACAAUAUAUGUAAAAUUAAUUAAUUUAUUUAACUCAUUAAUCUUUACAAUUUAUAGAUAUAUAUGUAUAAAUUUAUAUUUAUCCCUAUAUAUAAAUAAAUAACAUUAAGUAUAUCAUCAGUUCCUUUGAAGAAUCUUUUGGCAUGUAUUUAAUGUAAAUUAGAUAUAACACAAUUUUAUUUAUUUAUCGCUAAUAAUUAAUAUUUCUAGUUAAAUAAUACUUGACAUAAAAGUUCAUAAAAGGUGGGGGGUUAAUCUUUAGAGUAGUUUCUUUUAAAUGCACUUAAUUGUUUCAAAAUAAUAAUAUUAGCGUUGAAUUUAUUUUAAAAUCAUUCUAUUGUAAUGGACGUUAAUUAAAAUGUUAUUGAAAUACACGGUGUACAAUAAAA